rnacentral:rRNA from 1 species
UUGUUUGUGUGGUCAUGCGGAGCUACCAUGCAGUCGAGCGCUACCUUCGGGUGGAGCGGCGGACGGGUUAGUAACGCGUGGGAAUAUGCCCUUCUCUAUGGAAUAGCCAUUGGAAACGAUGAGUAAUACCAUAUACGCCCUUCGGGGGAAAGAUUUAUCGGAGAAGGAUUAGCCCGCGUUAGAUUAGAUAGUUGGUGGGGUAAUGGCCUACCAAGUCUACGAUCUAUAGCUGGUUUUAGAGGAUGAUCAGCAACACUGGGACUGAGACACGGCCCAGACUCCUACGGGAGGCAGCAGUGGGGAAUCUUAGACAAUGGGCGCAAGCCUGAUCUAGCCAUGCCGCGUGUGUGAUGAAGGCCUUAGGGUCGUAAAGCACUUUCGCCAGAGAUGAUAAUGACAGUAUCUGGUAAAGAAACCCCGGCUAACUCCGUGCCAGCAGCCGCGGUAAUACGGAGGGGGUUAGCGUUGUUCGGAAUUACUGGGCGUAAAGCGUACGUAGGCGGAUCAGAAAGUAGGGGGUGAAAUCCCGAGGCUCAACCUCGGAACUGCCUCCUAAACUCCUGGUCUUGAGUUCGAGAGAGGUGAGUGGAAUUCCAAGUGUAGAGGUGAAAUUCGUAGAAAUUUGGAGGAACACCAGUGGCGAAGGCGGCUCACUGGCUCGAUACUGACGCUGAGGUACGAAAGUGUGGGGAGCAAACAGGAUUAGAUACCAUGGUAGUCCACACCGUAAACGAUGAAUGCCAGUCGUCGGGCAGUAUACUGUUCGGUGACACACCUAACGGAUUAAGCAUUCCGCCUGGGGGAGUACGGUCGCAAGAUUAAACUUCAAAGGAAUUGACGGGGGCCCGCACAAGCGGGUGGAGCAUGUGGUUUAAUUCGAAGCAACGCGCAGAACCUUACCACCCUUGACAUCCUGGUGG